rnacentral:rRNA from 1 species
CAGACUCCUACGGGAGGCAGCAGUAGGGAAUCUUCGGCAAUGGACGGAAGUCUGACCGAGCAACGCCGCGUGAGUGAAGAAGGUUUUCGGAUCGUAAAGCUCUGUUGUAAGAGAAGAACGAGUGUGAGAGUGGAAAGUUCACACUGUGACGGUAUCUUACCAGAAAGGGACGGCUAACUACGUGCCAGCAGCCGCGGUAAUACGUAGGUCCCGAGCGUUGUCCGGAUUUAUUGGGCGUAAAGCGAGCGCAGGCGGUUAGAUAAGUCUGAAGUUAAAGGCUGUGGCUUAACCAUAGUACGCUUUGGAAACUGUUUAACUUGAGUGCAAGAGGGGAGAGUGGAAUUCCAUGUGUAGCGGUGAAAUGCGUAGAUAUAUGGAGGAACACCGGUGGCGAAAGCGGCUCUCUGGCUUGUAACUGACGCUGAGGCUCGAAAGCGUGGGGAGCAAACAGGAUUAGAUACCCUGGUAGUCCACGCCGUAAACGAUGAGUGCUAGGUGUUAGACCC